GACGAACGCUGGCGGCGUGCUUAAUACAUGCAAGUCGAACGAGUGGCGAACGGGUGAGUAACGCAUCGGAACGUACCGAGUAAUGGGGGAUAACUGUCCGAAAGGAUAGCUAAUACCGCAUAUUACUCUUGCGGCCGAUGUCGGAUUAGCUGGUUGGCGGGGUAAAGGCCCACCAAGGCGACGAUCAGGAGCGGGUCUGAGAGGAUGAUCCGCCACACUGGGACUGAGACACGGCCCAGACUCCUACGGGAGGCAGCAGUGGGGAAUUUUGGACAAUGGGCGCAAGCCGGAUCCAGCCAUGCCGCGUGUCUGAAGAAGGCCUUCGGGUUGUAAAGGACUUUUGUCAGGGAAGCGGUACCUGAAGAAUAAGCACCGGCUAACUACGUGCCAGCAGCCGCGGUAAUAC
rnacentral:rRNA from 1 species